rnacentral:lncRNA from 1 species
CCAGGCCCUUGCCGGCACCGGCGGUUGCGCGCUGAGCACCGACAAGACCGUGCUGACCAUCACGCUGGCCGGCUCCGUCACCGCGUCUUGGUUCACCACCUCGCCCUACAUGCGUGUGCGCAUCCUGUCCCAGGCCACCCUGGGCCUCAAGGCCGGCAGCUCAUCCGGCUACGCCUACAUCACCACCGACACCAGCGUGCUCGCCACCGUGCGCGCAUUCGACGUGGCGUCGGCCACACCGCAGAGCAUCGUGUCGGCCACGGCUGUGGGCCCCACCCGGCUGGAGCUGGCGCUGCCCGCCGUCACCACCAUCAACCCCGCCAACGGCUGCCCCAGCUCCCUGACGCUGAGCCGCACCUUGUCCAACUGCAGCCUGGACGACACCGGCAAGCUGCUGACCGUCUUCACCACCGCCGCCUACCAGUCCGCGGACACGGUGCAGGUGGUGGCCAGCCAGGCGCUCAAGUACAUGGCGGGCGACACCGCCACCUCCUACCCCGCCCUGGGUUCGGCGCUGACCAUCG